GAUGAACGCUGGCGGCGUGCCUAACACAUGCAAGUCGAGCGAGGGUUUGCUCAGUAUUGAGUAUUCUAAAACUAGAAUGUUCAAUUCUGAGCAAAACCAAGCGGCGGACGGGUGAGUAACGCGUGGGUAACCUGCCCUAUACACAUGGAUAACAUACUGAAAAGUUUACUAAUACAUGAUAAUAUAUAUUUGCGGCAUCGCAGAUAUAUCAAAGUGUUAGCGGUAUAGGAUGGACCCGCGUCUGAUUAGCUAGUUGGUGAGAUAACUGCCCACCAAGGCGACGAUCAGUAGCCGACCUGAGAGGGUGAUCGGCCACAUUGGAACUGAGACACGGUCCAAACUCCUACGGGAGGCAGCAGUGGGGAAUAUUGCACAAUGGGCGAAAGCCUGAUGCAGCAACGCCGCGUGAACGAUGAAGGUCUUCGGAUCGUAAAGUUCUGUUGCAGGGGAAGAUAAUGACGGUACCCUGUGAGGAAGCCCCGGCUAACUACGUGCCAGCAGCCGCGGUAAUACGUAGGGGGCUAGCGUUAUCCGGAUUUACUGGGCGUAAAGGGUGCGUAGGUGGUCCUUCAAGUCGGUGGUUAAAGGCUACGGCUCAACCGUAGUAAGCCGCCGAAACUGGAGGACUUGAGUGCAGGAGAGGAAAGUGGAAUUCCCAGUGUAGCGGUGAAAUGCGUAGAUAUUGGGAGGAACACCAGUAGCGAGGGCGGCUUUCUGGACUGCAACUGACACUGAGGCACGAAAGCGUGGGUAGCAAACAGG
rnacentral:rRNA from 1 species